rnacentral:rRNA from 1 species
UACAGAGGUGGCAAGCGUUGUUCGGAAUUACUGGGCGUAAAGGGCGAGUAGGUGGCCAUCUAAGUCAGGCGUGAAAUCCCCCGGCUUAACCUGGGAACUGCGUCUGAUACUGUACGGCUUGAGUAUGGGAGAGGAACGUAGAAUUCCAGGUGUAGCGGUGAAAUGCGUAGAUAUCAGGAGGAACACCGGUGGCGAAGGCGGUUCUCUGGGCAUUACCUGACGCUGAGGAGCGAAAGUGUGGGGAGCGAACAGG